GCCCGGUUAGCUCAGUUGGUAGAGCAUCAGGCCUUUAAUCUGAGGGCCAUGGGUUCGAGUCCUAUAUCGGGCU
rnacentral:tRNA from 1 species